rnacentral:lncRNA from 1 species
UCAUACUGUUACAGUGAUGCUUUCUUUUAACUGUCUUGUUUACACAUGCACAGUGUAUUGUUGAUUAAUUUAAGCUUAUAGAAAAUGUUGCAUGCCUGAGGAUAUUUUCAAUUUGCCAAUACACUGCUGAUUCUAAUUAUUUAGAGAAAUUUUAGUUUUCACAAUGGCCUGCUGGUGCUGUGAGAAGCAAGGCCAUCAGUGUACCAGACAGCACUAGGACCUUGUGCUGUGGCUCAAAUACAGCUAAAAUAAGUUGUGUUAUUUCCAUUUCAUUGCUGUGUAGUGAUCUCUGUGAAGCCCAUUGGUAGGCUCAUAACAAAACCAAUUGUGAUGCUACCUCUUCUGUUAAUUUUGAGGAUUACUUACUGAGUAAUCAGAGGACAUGCCCCUUCAUCCUUGUUUAAAUCCAGUCCCGCUCUCUGUUAUCACUAACAGAUUGUGUAAUCACUAGGACUGUGUAAUUAUGUGAUUGUGUUAUCACUUACAGAUUGUGUAAUCUCUAGGAGAGCUGGGUGUGCUCAGGAGAGUUGAAUAUCAUGUCACAUUCUUAUGUACAGUCAAUAGAAAAUUCAAAGUAAAUAACCACAGCAACCAGCUUAAAAUUUUACCUUCUAUUUUGAAAUAUAUCUGUAAUGCUGUCUGCUGAAUAGGUAAUUAACCCUUUUUUUUUUAAAAAAAAAAAAAAAAGUAUUUUUAAGAAAGUUAGUGGAGCCUCAUAAUCCUUCCACUUGGCUAUUGCAACCUAAGAGCAGGUCUCAAAAACAAUUUACUUUGUGGUAUGUAAUAUAUAGUAUACACAUGAGAGAAUGAUAAAUAAAAGUAUAAUUACUGUUCAGAAGUUAACUUUCAGAAGCAGACCUGCAGCGGCAAGGGGCGGUAAAGGGUGGUAAAGUCCAAAUGUGAGUGAUCACCAUGAAGUUCUGAAGGGCUCUUAUUGAAAGUGACAAUUUUGACAUGUG